rnacentral:lncRNA from 1 species
GCCGUGGACGAGCUGCUGGUGGCCGCGGGGGUGCCCCUGGAGCUCCGGGAGGGUGACCUGGGCUCGGUGACGGUGACGGUGCCCUGGGCCGCGCUGGGCUCCGAACCCCUGCGGCUGCGGCUGCGGCGGCUGCGCCUCGUGCUGCAGCCCCGUGAGUGCCCGGGACCCCCGGGACCCCUGACACCCCCGGGACACCCACGGGACACCCCCGGGACACCCCCGGGACACCCCCGGGACACCCGGGACACACCUGAGGACACCCCCGGGACACCCCCUGACCCACCCAGUGUCACCCUGACCCCUGGGACCCCCUGACAGCCCCCGACCCACCCGGUAUCACCUUGACCCCCUCAGUGACCCCCUCCUGUGACACCCCCUUUCCCCCCCAUGACCCCUCCUGACCCACCCCAUGUCACUCUGACCCCCCCUGACACCCCCGGGACACCCCCUGACCCACCCGGUGUCACCCUGACCCCCUCAGUGACCCCCUGUGACCCCCCUGUGACCCCCCUGUCCUCCCCCAGGCCCGCCGGGGUCACCGGGGUCACCGGGGUCACCCCCCCCGGGGGGGGGGUCGGAGCAGGGCCGGGACCCCCCCCAGGAGGAGCCGCUGGAGGGGCUGGAGGCGCUGGCAGCGGGCAUCGAGGCAGUGCUGCGGCGGCUGCAGGUGCACCUGGAGGACACGGAGCUGCGCCUGGAGCUGCCCCCGCAGCCCGGGGGGGGGCCUGGGGGGGGCCCUGGAGCUGCACCUGCCCAGGUGAGGGGCUCAGGUGUGUCCAGGUGUGUCCCAGGUGUGUCCCGGGUGUGUCCCCAGGUGUGUCCCAGGUGUGUCCCAGGUGUGUCCCGGGUGUGUCCUGGGCGUGUCCUGGGUGUACCCAGGUGUGUCCCCGGGUGUGUCCCCGGGUGUGUGCCCAGGUGUGUGCCCAGGUGUGUCCCCAGGUGUGUCCAGGUGUGUCCUGGGUGGGUCCUGGGUGGGUCCUGGGUGUCCCCAGGUGUGUCCCCAGGUGUGUCCCCAGGUGUGUCCCAGGUGUGUCCCCAGGUGUGUCCCAGGUGUGUCCCAGGUGUGUCCCCAGGUGUGUCCCAGGUGUGUCCCCAGGUGUGUCCCAGGUGUGUCCCCAGGUGUCCCAGGUGUCCCCAGGUGUGUCCCAGCUGUCCCCAGGUGUCCCAGGUGUGUCCCAGGUGUGUCCCAGGUGUGUCCCAGGUGUGUUGCAGGUGUCCCAGGUGUGUCCCCAGGUGUCUGGGGUGUCUCAGGUGUGUCCCAGGUGUCCCCAGGUGUGUCCCAGGUGUGUCUCAGGUGUGGCUGUCCCCAGGGUGGAGUACGAGGACGUGGGGGAGGGUCCCGGCCCCUCCCCCGUGCUGCAGAAGCGGCUGCGGCUGCACGACCUGCGGCUGCUGUGGGUGGAGCCGGCCCCACCUGGCCAGCAGCGCUGCAGUUCCCCCGCCGCCCAUCUGGGGGCGCUGCUCCCGGGCCCUGCGGAGCUGCGGCUGCGCCUGAGGCGGAGCGAGAGAGCGGCGGGGCCGGCGGUGGAGCUGGAGGCCACCGUGGGGUCCCUGCACCUGCUGCUGCCCCCCCCCCUGUUGGGGGUCCUGCGGGGGGCCCUGGACCCCCCCGGUGAGAGCCCCUCCCCCCCCCGGCACCCCAAACCCGGCGGGACCCCAAACCUGGGGGGGGGGGGGAGGGGCUGGGGGGGGUUGGGGGUCUCCUGGACCCCCGAAUCCUCUGGGGGGCAGUGGGGUAUUUUGGGGGGGGUUUGGGGGGCUUUGAGUUAUUUUGGGGUGUUUCUGAGGCGCUCCGUGCCGGUUUUGGGAUGUUUUCGGGCUGUUUUGGGGCGCUGUGUGUGAUUUUGGCAGAUUUUGGGGUGCUCUGUGUUAUUUUUAAGAUAUUUUGGGAUAUUUUGGGGCAGUGUGUGUUAUUUUGGGGUGCUCUGUGUUAUUUUUGGGAUAUUUUGGGGUGCUGUAUGUUAUUUUUAAGAUAUUUUGGGAUAUUUUGGGGCAGUGUGUGUUUUUCGGGGUAUUUUGGGGUGCUCUGUGUUAUUUUUGGGUAUUUUGGGGUGCUCUGUGAUAUUUUUGGGUAUUUUGGGAUGCUCUGUGAUAUUUUUGGGAUGUUUUGGGCUGUUUUGGGACGCUCUCUGAUAUUUUUGGGUAUUUUGGGAUGCUCUGUGAUAUUUUUGGGUAUUUUGGGAUGCUCUGUGAUAUUUUUGGGUAUUUUGGGGUGCUGUGUGAUAUUUUUGGGUAUUUUGGGACGCUCUGUGAUAAUUUUGGGGUGUUUGGGGCUGAUUUCGGGCUCUGCCCCCCAGGUCCCCCCCCCGGGGGUCGCAGCCGCCCCCUGGGCCCGCAGGACCUGGCGCUGAUCGAGCGGGAGCUGAGCCGGGGCCUGCGGGGGGGGCACGACCCCCCGACCCCCCCCGGGGGCGACCCCGACGGCGGUGAGGGGGGGGGGGCUGGGGGGCUCCGGGGUGGGUUUUGGGGG